UCGCCCUUAAGGCUCAGUAACACGUAGCUAACCUGCCCUAAGGUCUGGAAUAACCUCGGGAAACUGAGGCUAACACCGGAUAUGAGAUGGUUUCUGGAAUGAGCUUUCUCUUAAAGGUAACGCCUUAGGAUGGGGCUGCGGCCGAUUAGGUUGUUGGCGGAGUAAUAGCCCACCAAGCCGAUGAUCGGUAAGGGCUCUUAGCGGAGAAGCCCUGAGAGGGAAUCUGAGACACUAUUCCCAGCCCUACGGGGUGCAGCAGUCGGGAAACUUCUGCAAUGCACGCAAGUGUGACAGAGCAAGCCAGAGUGCUUUUCCGUAUUGGAAAAGCUUUUGUAAGAUGUAAAAAGUCUUAUGAAUAAGGACCGGGCAAGACUGGUGCCAGCCGCCGCGGUAAUACCAGCGGUCCAAGUCGCAAUCACUUUUAUUGGGUCUAAAACAUCCGUAGCUUGUUAUGUAAGUCUCUUGUGAAAUCCCAUCUCUUAAAGAUGGAAGUGCGAGAGAUACUGCGUGACUAGAGACCGGGAGACGCGAGGAGUACGGUUAGGGUAACGGUUAAAUGUGUUGAUCCUUUCUGGACUAACAAUAGCGAAGGCACCUCGCGAGAACGGAUCUGACAGUGAGGGAUGAAGGCUAG
rnacentral:rRNA from 1 species